UUAUAUGAAACAAAUUGUUAUUAAGAAAAAAAAAUUUAAACGCAUAUGUUCCAACAUUUCCAGUAUGACCGUGGAGUAGACAGCAGCAAAAGUUCAGAACAUCAUAAUGACGUCAUUUUAGAAUAAUGUUAAAAAAAUGUUGCCUCAAAUCAACUUUUCCAAACUGAAUUAUAAUUUAAAAAUUUCAGUUAAUAAUAUUCAAUUCUCCACGAUAACUUUUUUAUUGCACAACUAAAUCCCUCUAAGAAUCCAAGAUGGAGGACCUAUAUCUACAGAAAAAGUGAUUUACAAAAGUAUACAGAAAAUAAACCAAUCAGGUUUAUAUAAUAGCACAAAAUAAAGAUUUUUAAAAUGUAAAGUACUUCGAAAUAUACAGUGAAAAUGUUAACAACAGAUAAUUAAAUAAAACAAUCAAAUAGUCACCGUUGUACAUUAAAUAAUAUUGAAACAAUUUAACAUCUCAGUCGCAUUUCUUUCCUAAUGUCUCCCUUACUUAGGUUUUUUUCCCUUGUUCUUGUUUGCUCCUUUUUGAUACAUUAAACCAGUUAUUUAUAAUUAUAUGUUUUUAAACGUUUAGUUAAACACACACAUACACAUACACAAGCAUACUGAAACUGAAACAACCUUUUUAAUCCCAAUGUUUUCAUUGUGCAACCGACCUGAGUUUUUUAAAGAUACUAUCACGAGACGAUAAAAAUACUAGUUCUAAAUGUGCUUAACAACCCGGUGCAUAAAUCGCAUUCUUAUACUAAAAGCUAAAGUUAACUGAACAAAAUUUGCAUACAUACAGCUGCCUUUAUUAAAACAGUGACAAAAGUUGCAUUGUAAUCCCACAAAAAUUGACACUAAUAAAAAUAAGUGCAUAAUCAACACUUCUUCAAUGCAUAAAUCGCAUUCAUAUAUUGAUAGCUAAAAUUAACUAAACAAAAUGUAUAUUCAUAUAGCUGCCCUUAAUUUUAAAAGUGAAAUUUAGUUGCAUUGUAAUUCCAAAAAAAAAUAAAUGAUAAUGAUAACAAAAAAAUUCAUAACUUUGAGUUAGGUUGAUCAUUAAACGUGUAACAUAUUCAAAUACUGUAAUAAAAACCUAGAUAAUAAAACAAAUCCAAAGAAGGCAUACAAUAGCCUGAGGACGAGUAUAUAUCUGAAAAUAUAAAGUAAUGAUUGUUAUAAACAGACAUAAAUGAAUAAGAUCACAUGGUUUACAUGACGUUGUGUAAUAAUCAGACGCCUUAAAAUCUAUGCUAUACACUUCUAAGAUUUUGAGAAUUAUAAAAACUGUAGCAUAAAUAAAUGAAAAUAGUUUAAACAAUAUAUAAUAAUAUAUAAUAUAUAUAAUCGAUACACAAACAUAUAUCAAUGUUUAUAAAUUCUAAAAAGUUUACAGAUAUAAGUCACAAGCAACAUAUCAACAUGCUUAUCUGUGAAUAACGUGAUUAUUUUAAUAUGUGCAAUAGUUUUAUAAGAAAUGAAGUCUGUUAUAGAAAAUAAUAUACUUCUUAAAGGAAUUAAAUACAAUGUAUAUUCAUUUAUAGUAAACCAGCCACACAAACUAAAAACUCUUAAAACACGGAAUAGAGAAGUUACAUUCAUAGCCACAGACAUACACAUUUAGUUACAGUAACAUCUUUAGAAACCCUUCACAACAGAAGACUAAAAAGUAAAGUAACAAGGAAAUAAAUAAUAAAACAUUACAAAUACACUUUUUAAAUCUCUGAACGAGAUGUGACAAAGCAUACAUAUUAGAAUAUCAUACACAUACACAGUAAUACACACACAUAAAGUUGAAGCCAUAGACUCAAAUAUAAUAAUUACACUUAAGCCCAACCAUAGAAGUACAAUAUUUAUAUUUAAAAAAUGUAAAAUAAAGCAAUAUUAAAUCACAAAGGAUUGGAUUCUCAUACAUGUGUGCUAAUUUACAAUAAGAAGCUUUACGGUGUAUCCGGUGUUACGGUGUGGUGUAUCCGGUGUUACGGUGUG